AUGCUCGCUUCAGCAGCACAUAUACUAAAAUCGGAACAAUACAGAGAAGAUUAGCUUGGCCCCUGUGCAAGGAUGACAUGCAAAUUCAUGAAGCGUUUCAUAUUUUU
rnacentral:snRNA from 1 species